AUCUACAAUGUGCUAAACAAACUUGGAGGUAAAUUAAUAGUAUGACUAUCUCAGGCACUGCAAUCAGUCACCUUCUGACAAGU
rnacentral:snoRNA from 1 species